ACGUAAAGGAAUUGGGCCGGGCGAUCCUGGAACCAAGCCGUCAAUCCUUGGAGAGCGGAACGGUUACUUCCGGGGUGGUAUAGCUAAGCUGUAAAGGAAGUGACGCGUCGCCCCUGGCGGUGUUAUGGAGCAGCAACAGCAGCAACUGAGAAACUUGCGAGACUUCCUGUUGGUCUACAAUCGGAUGACAGAACUCUGCUUCCAGCGCUGUGUGCCCAGCCUGCACCACCGAGCUCUGGACGCUGAGGAGGAGGCCUGCUUGCACAGUUGUGCUGGAAAGCUGAUCCAUUCCAACCACCGCCUCAUGGCCGCUUACGUGCAGCUCAUGCCUGCCCUGGUACAGCGCCGCAUCGCAGACUAUGAGGCCGCCUCAGCUGUGCCAGGUGUUACUGCAGAACAGCCCACAGUCUCGCCACCAGGCAGCUAGCCAGCCCCAACCCUAGCCCCAGGAGGGAAGGUACUGGAAGGACCCAAUGGACCUUGGGCUUGGUGAAGCCCAGAGAGAUUGAGGGAUUGCCAGAAAGCUGGGUACUCUUGCUCCUUUCCUGGAGACAAUAAACCCAGUUUUUGCCGUUUGGUUUAUAAUAUGAGUAGGGAACCUUUGUCCACUUUAUUAGCACCAUCCUUUGUUAUGUCACUUACUGCGUGUUUGCUGGCUUCACCCCUCGCAGCUGAGAAAUUGCCUUCUAUAUCUAGAAGGACAGCCUCAGUAUUCCCAGCAUCUGAUUAGAGCAAGGUCUGUGGGUACAGUUUACAGGAGGUGAGGCCAUCAUGUGAGAAUAAAGCAGAAGAAAAUGGAAGAUGAGCGAGUACAGAUGGUUUGAAAUAUUCUUUGGGCAGUAUCAAAGAAUGAACUGACAAAGGAAACAAUUAGAUUUUUAGCCAGUGUUGAAGGCUCAGUAGAGGUUAGUGAUCAGCAUUCUCUUCUGUCCUUGUCUGGAAAGCUUCCGAUGUUUUAAGGCUUAAACUCUAUGGCCUAAUGUGAUUUGAGGACUCUGCCUUGCCCUUCCCAGGAAGGACUGUCUAUGCCCUUACUCAUGCCUUUACCAAACUCUUGUUCAACAGUAUGUUAAGAUCAGUAGCCAAACAUAUCAAUUGUAUCAAAUAUCUAUUAUCUACCAGGCUAUAUUCUAAGUAUUUUAUAUACAUUAAUUCAUUUAAUCCUCAUAAUCAGUCACCCUAUAAGGGUUCAUUUUCAAAAGAUGAAGUCAGGAUGUCAGGCAGUCUAACCCCAAAGCCUGUCUCCUUACCCACUAAUGAAGAUUGUUACACAUUCAUAUAUUUUCUCUGUGAAUAUUUUCUGAUCCCCUAUUCAUGGUGCCUCACCUUAGGGACUGGGGAUAGAGUAGGGAAGAGAAUUGCUGCUGCUAUGGAGCUUACAUUUCAAGUCAGGACAAGACAGUAAACAAAUAAAUACCUGUUUAUAUGAGAUGGUAAUUGAUACUGUGGGAAAAAAUUAUUUAGGGCAAAGAGGGUAAAAAUGUUGAGAAGAGUAUUGCCAUUGUCUAUUGAGUGGCUAGGGAAGAACCCAAUAAUAAGGUGGUUUUUGAGCAAGGACUUCAAAUGAGGGAGUAACCCUUCGGGACAUGUGGAAGAAAGAGUGUACACUGCUUUGCUGUUCAACUAGUACUGUAAGCCGCUAGUUCGCCCCCAUUAUCCACUUCCCCCCUUUUUUUUACUAAUGGAACCCCUGAAAUUUCUCUGGGUGCAUAAUGACUAAAAGUAAAGAUUAGAUUUGCUAGCUUUAGUUACAAGUAGGUAUGGCCAUGUGCUUGAGUGAUGUGGGAAUUUAGCAAACUGCGCCAUUCACAAAAAGGGUAUGCCUUCUCUUUGCUCUUUUCUCCUAUCUCACUAGUUAGGAUGGACCCCAGAAGACAUGAUGGUGAGCCCUCUGGGACUUUGAAGACAAGGACUACUUCCUUGGAGAAGGCAUGUUAGCCCUGGAGUACUUAAAUAGUUACAUGAGAGAGAAAAAUAAACUUCUAUCAUGUUUAA